rnacentral:rRNA from 1 species
GACGAACGCUGGCGGCGUGCCUAAUACAUGCAAGUUGAGCGAUGAAGCUUGGUGCUUGCACCAAUUUGAAGAGCAGCGAACGGGUGAGUAACGCGUGGGGAAUCUGCCUUUGAGCGGGGGACAACAUUUGGAAACGAAUGCUAAUACCGCAUAACAACUUUAAACAUAAGUUUUAAGUUUGAAAGAUGCAAUUGCAUCACUCAAAGAUGAUCCCGCGUUGUAUUAGCUAGUUGGUGAGGUAAAGGCUACCCAAGGCGAUGAUACAUAGCCGACCUGAGAGGGGGAUCGGCCACAUUGGGACUGAGACACGGCCCAAACUCCUACGGGAGGCAGCAGUAGGGAAUCUUCGGCAAUGGACGAAAGUCUGACCGAGCAACGCCGCGUGAGUGAAGAAGGUUGUCGGAUCGUAAAACUCUGUUGGUAGAGAAGAACGUUGGUGAGAGUGGAAAGCUCAUCAAGUGACGGUAACUACCCAGAAAGGGACGGCUAACUACGUG